CGUGGAUGAACUUCCGCUGAAUAUCGAUUGUAGAAAUAUAUCUGUUUUUUUGUUUGUUUGUUUGUUUGUUUUAUGUUUGUUUGUUUUAGAAGUUAUGAAAUACUUAAUCAUUGGAAUUUGUAGUCGGACUAUAUACGACCCAAAACCUGAAAUAAACUGGAAUUACAGACCGUGCAGCAGGGGGCAAUAGGGAGUGUUUGUGUGAGAGGAGACGCGCCCGGAGGAGACGAAGAAGUGUUUGGAGUUUCCGCGGCAGUGUUUGGGUUUGAAACGAUAUUAAAAAUAAGCACACAGCCUGAAUUGCAAUGGCUCUUAAGAUGGACAAGAAACCAAACACAAUACAGCAGACUGCUGCAAAAAUAAAGACAAAAAUUCACAACACAUCCUCAUUCUUCAAGCUUUCUUUGAAAACCAACAACAAAGCCCUUAUUUUGGCUCUGGUAGCUCAGAAGCAGAAAUCCAAGCAGCUUGAGAUGGAAACGGUGCGUUUACAGAAAUAUCUGCAGAGCCUGAACUUUGAGCUUGCCAUUCAGCGUCACAAAAAUAAACAAAUGUUUACAGUUCUGCGUGAGUUCUAUAAUACCUCCAUCAAUUGCAUGGCUAAGGCUGUGGACUUUAUUUCCAAAGAAGAGGGUGAUGAGAGCUUGGAUAUGGAGCUCACUGAAGAUUCUUCUCCGACUGAGAAAGCUGUAACUGCACCGUUACCUGAGACAAAAAAAAGAACCAGUGUAUACAAAUGUGGGCAAAAGAGGAAUGUCCAGGACCCUGGUGGAAAUGUGCCAAUGGCAAAUGAUGGUCAACCUAACAGGUCUUCACCUAAAAGCAAGGAUAACUCUCCCAGUCCAGAUGUGCACAAUACAGCCCCUCAAAAUGCUCUGUAUGACUCGGAGAUGGAGAUCACUGUAGUUGACAACGUUGCUGAAAUCAUCACCGUAGAGACCAAACCGAAGAAAAACUUUAAGCAUGACCAGAGAGGAACUAGAGAAAUUGGUGAAUCUAGUUCAGCAAGGGUUAGAGAGAGCAUUGUGCUGAAUUCUGAAGAAGCAGCAGUGGAAUCGUCUCCUCUAAAGGAUCCAACUGCAAAUGCAUCUAAACGAAUGUUUUGUGAAACACAACUCCAAACAAGUACACACAUUUUCACUGGAAGCAAUGAAGAGGAGAGUUUGCCUCAGUGGGUGGAGCCUGAGCAUGAGGAAGAGGAAUCAGUCACAGCACGCAGAAAGACUCACAUCACCUCUCGUUACACAAAAAGCAACAAACGAUUAAAUUCUCAAAAACCUAUUUCAGGAUAUACCAAUACAAGGCAAACAUAUGUCAUCUCUCCGCACGAGUCCAGCUUUAUUUCCACCAGUGAUGAUUUAGAUGAUUAUUUUAGUGAACAAAAUCAUAGAAUGAGCAAGAACAAUUUAUCUGACUCUAAAGUAUCUGAAGACAAAGGCACUGAAAGUGAAGCUGAAGUGUUGAAACCUCAGAACAAUAGUGCAAAGAGCAGGAAAACAUACAUAGUCCCAUACAAGCAAAGACUACAGAACAGGAAGACUAAAGUUUCAUCUUUCAGUGCAGAUCAAAGUGUAAAGGAGAUUGCUGAAUUCACUGAUGCUCACACUGAUGUCCAGGAAAACCAGAUCCACUCAGAAAAACCUCAAAGCAAGCAAUCAGCUCAGUCAUUCUCUCAGACAGAAGAAUGCAUUACACCAAGAAACAGAGGAACAUUUGUGAUUCAUACAGCUCAGAUGAACGUCACAUCUGGGGAAACCACUAAUGCAAAGACUUUGGAAAGCGCAUGUGAUGCCCAGUGUACCUCAGGGGUCACUGAGAGGCAGCAAGCAGAGAAAGAAGUGUCUCACAAAGAGGAAAACAGAAGUGUUUUACACUCGCAAACUAUCUGUGAUGAAAAUAUUUUAGAAAAUUCCUCUGAUCAUUCUCAAAUGGCACACAGUAAAGCCAAGAAGCCCAAGACAACUGUGAUGAAAGAAAGCAAAAAUGUUGCAACAAAAGAAAAUGCAUCAGGAAAGAGACGACGGCCCAAAUAUAGCUCUAAACAGAUUGCUGAUAUUUUGCCAAAAGAAAUUCCAGUUCCAGGUGACAAUACAAAGAGAAACAGCACUACUUCUAAGGUAUUGCAGGAGGUAACAGAUGGAUUCAAUUCGUCUGCUCUUGAGGAAGCUUUCAUGGAUGAGCCUGUAAUUGAUACUGGGGACACAAACGGCAUACAUGUGAGACACCUUGACCAUAAUGACGACAUUGACAUAAGUUUAAAAGAUGUCAGUCCAAAGCAUCACAACAUCCAAAACCACAAGAGCAAGUGCAGAGAAACCUAUGUUGUUUUAUCUGAUUGCUAUUCACAGUUAAAGGGAAAGGAGAAUGUUCUCGUUUUCAGCAGCAAUGAAGAGAAUUUACCUGCAAAUAGAGAAAGUGAGAAUUGUUUUGUUACAGAUAGAAGAUUUGUUCUUUGUCAUAAGAAUGAGAGUCAGUCAACCGAGAAAAAAGCAGAGCAGCUUAGACAGGAACACAGUGGAUUAUUCUUUGAGGAUAGGCCUCCAUGGGAAUCCCUUGAUUUUGCCUCCACUGGGAGUAUUAUUUCUGACAGCCCUGUCAAAAUCCAGAAGAAUUCACAAGAGAUUUCAUCACGAUCUAUGGACAUUUAUGAGGAGCCUGGGUGGAACAUGACUCAACAAUCUCCAGAUGGGAGGGCAAUGAAGAGCUUAACAAACACAGACUUCACAGCCAAUCCGUUGGGUCGAUCCCGCAGGAAGGCAGCUCCUGUGUCAUACAAGGAGCCACCUAUCAACUGCAAAAUGAGACGUGGAGACAAGUUCUCAGAUACCAGAUUCUUACGUUCUCCAGUGUUUAAAAACAAAAAGAAGAAAAAGGUUCUGUAUGUGUUAAGGAGCAUUUGGCUCAUUAUGGUUUGGCCAUAACUGUGGCUAUAUGGUUGGCAAAUGAGAAAAGGUGUGCAGAUGCAAAUCAACUUAUAGGAGCUAUCAGUACCAGACACAGACACUGUCUUAAUCAACUGGAAAGAGAGGCAAUAAUACUCUCAUCCUUUGCAGGGAUACUUUUGAAUAGCUUACCUGUAAAUGAGAUCCUGUCGCUGUAUACCUGCAAACCAACUGCCUCCUGCCUUCAUCCAGACAAUAAAGUGAGAAGAGCAUUGUUUUAAAAUAUAUGCUGUUACAGUAAACACGAAUGACAAGGAGGUUUGAUAUGGCCCUGGUGUUAUUUACCAAAGACAACAUUUAUUUUUCUUAUAUACCUUAUAUCUUAUAUUAUUUUUGAACUUAUUAAUGGACUUUCCAUUCGUUUUAAUUAUUUAGUGUUGUGGUAUGUCUGAAAAACAUUAUACAUACUAAGACAAAAGCUGAUAUAUAUAAUCUGCUUUUAAUGAGACCAAAAACAGUUACUUCUUCCAUAAAUAUCAAUAAUUUCGUAUUCUAUAAGCCUUUACUGUAUCAGAUUAUACAUUUUUAUUUGUUAAACAACAAAGAUUUACUUUAUUGCUUUCAUGUUAAUAUUCUUUAAUAAUGUAGAGCCUUCUACACAAGUUUCUGUAAAUGAGUUGUUACUAUAGAAACAACAAUAUUCGAAUUAGCACAUGAAUAUGAAACUGUGACUUACAUGACAGUAUGUAUGAUCCGUGCCAUUAUAGAGAAUUAAUCAGUGCUUUCUGACCAAUUAGGUUCAAGAAUCCAAAAAACCCUAGCUGUGUAUAAGUAUAGAUGUAUAGAAUUUAACAAAACUUGAUUCUGUGUUUUAUGGUAAACAUUUGAAAGGCAGAGUCCAGCAUAGUUUGGUGCUUUUACUCAUUUAGCAAAAGACUGGAGUCAGGAACUUACUGUAUUAUCUCACCUCCACUGUUGCAAUUUCCACAGAGCACCAUCGUUCAUCCUUUCUCCUUGUCCUAUCACCCGUUUGCUAUGCUCAGUUCAUUUAAGGCAGUAGACCGUGCAAGAAAACACACUCAGAUGCUGAAAAGGUGGAAUACUCUGCGGACUAAAGGAGCAUCAGAAGCACUGGAGA